rfam:Canis lupus familiaris chromosome 10, whole genome shotgun sequence.
CGGGGGAGGCCGGAUCCUGUGCUGUGUCCCGGCGCCCUGUGCUCCGGGGCCUGCGCUGUUGGAUUCGCGCUCCCGGGCCGCGCAACCCCCU